rnacentral:rRNA from 1 species
GAAAGCAAGGGAUCGCAAGACCUUAUGCUUUUGGAGCGGCCGAUGUCUGAUUAGCUAGUUGGUAAGGUAAUGGCUUACCAAGGCGACGAUCAGUAGUUGGUCUGAGAGGACGGCCAGCCACACUGGGACUGAGACACGGCCCAGACUCCUACGGGAGGCAGCAGUGGGGAAUUUUGGACAAUGGGCGCAAGCCUGAUCCAGCAAUGCCGCGUGAGUGAAGAAGGCCUUCGGGUUGUAAAGCUCUUUCAGUCGAGAAGAAAAGGUUGUGACUAAUAAUCAUAACUCAUGACGGUAUCGACAGAAGAAGCACCGGCUAACUACGUGCCAGCAGCCGCGGUAAUACGUAGGGUGCGAGCGUUAAUCGGAAUUACUGGGCGUCAUGGAUGCGCAGGCGGU